GACUCACACCUUUUUUUCCAACCUCACAGAGUUUUAGAGUCCUGCAUGUGGCUGUGCAGAGAUUGUGGUUCCUCUCACACAUCCAGAUCUAAUCCAGCACCCUUUAUAGAGCAAGAGGUAUUGGUGAAAUCCAGUUGGAUUACAACAAUCCCUUUGGUCUCCAAAUAUAUGGGACUGCUUGAUAAUUUCUCAAACCAAAGACAGGAGCAGCAGCAGCACAGAAGAUCACAAACAUCCUGUCAGUUAUGGCUCAGAAUGUCUCCAUC